UAAAGUCUAACCUGCCCACUGAAAAUUUUUAAAUGGCCGCAGUAUUUUAACUGUGCAAAGGUAGCAUAAUCAUUAGUCUUUUAAUUGAAGGCUGGAAUGAAUGGUUUGACGAGAUAUUAACUGUUUCAUUUAAAUUUUUUAUAGAAUUUUAUUUUUUAGUCAAAAAGCUAAAAUUUAUUUAAAAGACGAGAAGACCCUAUAAAUCUUUAUAUUUUAUUUAUUUUAAUUAUAAAGAUUAUUUUUAUUAUAAUAAAAUGAAAUAUUUUAUUGGGGUGAUAUUAAAAUUUAAAAAACUUUUAAUGAUUUAAAUCAUUAAUGUAUGAAUAUUUGAUCCGUUAUUACGGAUAAAAAAUUUAAGUUACUUUAGGGAUAACAGCGUAAUUUUUUUGGAGAGUUCAUAUCGAUAAAAAAGAUUGCGACCUCGAUGUUGGAUUAAGAUAUAAUUUUGGGUGUAGCCGUUCAAAUUUUAAGUCUGUUC
rnacentral:rRNA from 1 species